AUCUAGGUAAGAUAAGGUGUAUAAUCUGGCAUUUUUAGGAAAUGUUUAUAAUGAAGGUUUCUAGGUU
rnacentral:tRNA from 1 species